rnacentral:lncRNA from 1 species
GUUUAAUAUCCUGACCUAGUGAGAUAUACACGGAGGAGGUUUAAUAUCCUGGCCUAGUGAGAUAUACACGGAGGAGGUUUAAUGUCCUGACCUAGUGAGAUAUACACGGAGGAGGUUUAAUAUCCUGACCUAGUGAGAUAUACAUGGAGGAGGUUUAAUAUCCUGACCUAGUGAGAUAUACAUGGAGGAGGCUUAAUAUCCUGUUUUUAACAACCUGUUUUUAACGAAGACAACAUUAUUUAUAAUUGACUUUUUUCUGCACAACAUAUGUACAGCACAUCCCCUCAUUGUAUGGGACACUUUCAAAUGUACUUUUAGAGGCCAUUCAAUACAAUACUCAUCAUUAAAACAAAAGCAAAUUAGAGGCACAACAUACUGUAGGUUAUAGGAAAUAACAGCAGGGAGAUAGUAAUGGUAACUACUAUAGAGGCACAAAAUAGGUUAUAGGAAAAACAAAAGGAAUUGGGGGGACUUAAAAGCGAAUUGGAUGGUAAAUGAUGAAAAAUGCACAAAAUUAUUUUUUUAUCUUCAACAUCAAAAUGCUAUGAAAAAGAGUUUACAGAAACUCGUUACAAAUGUUGGAGUCAUCCAUGAUUCACCAAAUUAUACUAUACUUUGAAAUAGGAAGCUAAAUAUUUUAAGCGUAUCAUUUAUUCAGUCUCCACUGAAUGAUUUUAACUGUAAGGAUUUAUUUCCUAAUAAUAAUGUAGAAUUAACAAAUGUACAGAAAGAUUAAAUAUUUUCAGUCUGGAAAAACACCAGGGCUUGACAGUAUACCAGUAGAGGUAUAUCAGACCUUUUUUGAUGUACUCAAAUAUCCAUUAUUAGCAUGUUUUAAUUACUCCUAUAAAAAUGGCAGACUUUCAGGUACUCAACAAGGUCUGAUUUCAUUACUACUGAAACAGGACCCUUGUGGUAAGGUAUAAAGAUCCAGUCCAUUUAAACAACUGGAGACCUCUAAUGCUUCAAUGUUGUGAUGUGAAAAUCCUGGCGAGAUGAAAAGCACAUAGAACAAAACAGGUUUUUACCAGAUAUUGUUCAUCCUGAUCAGACAGGUUUUUUACAUUGACAAUAUAUUGGAGAUAUUAUUAGACAAUUACUUGAAACAAUUGAGCAUUAUGAAACAUCAAAGAUACCAG